UAAGGAAUAUUGGACAAUGGAGGCAACUCUGAUCCAGCCAUGCCGCGUGAAGGAAUAAGGCCCUAUGGGUUGUAAACUUCUUUUAGACGGGACAAAACCCCUUUACGUGUAAAGGGUUGAUGGUACUGUCAGAAUAAGCAUCGGCUAACUUCGUGCCAGCAGCCGCGGUAAUACGAAGGAUGCAAGCGUUAUCCGGAAUUAUUGGGUUUAAAGGGUGCGUAGGCGGACUAAUUAGUCAGUGGUGAAAGCCUGCAGCUUAACUGCAGAAUUGCCAUUGAUACUGUUAGUCUUGAGUACAGUUGAGGUAGGCGGAAUGUGUCAUGUAGCGGUGAAAUGCUUAGAUAUGACACAGAACACCGAUUGCGAAGGCAGCUUGCUAAGCUGUAACUGACGCUGAGGCACGAAAGCGUGGGGAGCAAACA
rnacentral:rRNA from 1 species